GCACAAGCGGUGGAGUAUGUGGUUUAAUUCGAUGCAACGCGAAGAACCUUACCUGGUCUUGACAUCCCGGAGACCCUUAGGAAACUAGGGGGUGCCUUUCCAUCUGGAAGAAUCUGGAGACAGGUGCUGCAUGGCUGUCGUCAGCUCGUGUCGUGAGAUGUUGGGUUAAGUCCCGCAACGAGCGCAACCCUUGCCUUUAGUUGCCAGCAGUUCGGCUGGGCACUCUAAAGGGACUGCCGGUGUUAAACCGGAGGAAGGUGGGGAUGACGUCAAGUCCUCAUGGCCUUUAUGACCAGGGCUACACACGUACUACAAUGGCCGAUACAAAGGGCAGCGACACUGCGAGGUGAAGCCAAUCCCGUAAAAUCGGUCUCAGUCCGGAUUGGAGUCUGCAACUCGACUCCAUGAAGUUGGAAUCGCUAGUAAUCGUGGAUCAGCAUGCCACGGUGAAUACGUUCCCGGGCCUU
rnacentral:rRNA from 1 species